GGGUUGUGAGGUUAAGCGACUAAGCGUACACGGUGGAUGCCCUGGCAGUCAGAGGCGAUGAAGGACGUGCUAAUCUGCGAAAAGCGUCGGUAAGGUGAUAUGAACCGUUAUAACCGGCGAUGUCCGAAUGGGGAAACCCAGUGCAAUUCGUUGCACUAUCGUUAACUGAAUACAUAGGUUAACGAGGCGAACCGGGGGAACUGAAACAUCUAAGUACCCCGAGGAAAAGAAAUCAACCGAGAUUCCCCCAGUAGCGGCGAGCGAACGGGGAGCAGCCCAGAGUCUGAAUCAGCUUGUGUGUUAGUGGAACGGUCUGGAAAGUCCGACGGUACAGGGUGAUAGUCCCGUACACCAAAAUGCACAGGUUGUGAACUCGAAGAGUAGGGCGGGACACGUGGUAUCCUGUCUGAAUAUGGGGGGACCAUCCUCCAAGGCUAAAUACUCCUGACUGACCGAUAGUGAACCAGUACCGUGAGGGAAAGGCGAAAAGAACCCCGGCGAGGGGAGUGAAAAAGAACCUGAAACCGUGUACGUACAAGCAGUGGGAGCACCUUCGGGUGUGACUGCGUACCUUUUGUAUAAUGGGUCAGCGACUUAUAUUCUGUAGCAAGGUUAACCGUAUAGGGGAGCCGCAGGGAAACCGAGUCUUAACUGGGCGUUAAGUUGCAGGGUAUAGACCCGAAACCCGGUGAUCUAGCCAUGGGCAGGUUGAAGGUUGGGUAACACUAACUGGAGGACCGAACCGACUAAUGUUGAAAAAUUAGCGGAUGACUUGUGGCUGGGGGUGAAAGGCCAAUCAAACCGGGAGAUAGCUGGUUCUCCCCGAAAGCUAUUUAGGUAGCGCCUCGUGAACUCAUCUUCGGGGGUAGAGCACUGUUUCGGCUAGGGGGUCAUCCCGACUUACCAACCCGAUGCAAACUACGAAUACCGAAGAAUGUUAUCACGGGAGACACACGGCGGGUGCUAACGUCCGUCGUGAAGAGGGAAACAACCCAGACCGCCAGCUAAGGUCCCAAAGUCAUGGUUAAGUGGGAAACGAUGUGGGAAGGCACAGACAGCCAGGAUGUUGGCUUAGAAGCAGCCAUCAUUUAAAGAAAGCGUAAUAGCUCACUGGUCGAGUCGGCCUGCGCGGAAGAUGUAACGGGGCUAAACCAUGCACCGAAGCUGCGGCAGCGACACUAUGUGUUGUUGGGUAGGGGAGCGUUCUGUAAGCCUGCGAAGGUGUGCUGUGAGGCAUGCUGGAGGUAUCAGAAGUGCGAAUGCUGACAUAAGUAACGAUAAAGCGGGUGAAAAGCCCGCUCGCCGGAAGACCAAGGGUUCCUGUCCAACGUUAAUCGGGGCAGGGUGAGUCGACCCCUAAGGCGAGGCCGAAAGGCGUAGUCGAUGGGAAACAGGUUAAUAUUCCUGUACUUGGUGUUACUGCGAAGGGGGGACGGAGAAGGCUAUGUUAGCCGGGCGACGGUUGUCCCGGUUUAAGCAUGUAGGCUGAUUGUCCAGGCAAAUCCGGAUAAUCAAGGCUGAGGUGUGAUGACGAGGCACUACGGUGCUGAAGUAACAAAUGCCCUGCUUCCAGGAAAAGCCUCUAAGCAUCAGGUAACAUCAAAUCGUACCCCAAACCGACACAGGUGGUCAGGUAGAGAAUACCAAGGCGCUUGAGAGAACUCGGGUGAAGGAACUAGGCAAAAUGGUGCCGUAACUUCGGGAGAAGGCACGCUGGUGUGUAGGUGAAGUCCCUGCGGAUGGAGCUGAGACCAGUCGAAGAUACCAGCUGGCUGCAACUGUUUAUUAAAAACACAGCACUGUGCAAACACGAAAGUGGACGUAUACGGUGUGACGCCUGCCCGGUGCCGGAAGGUUAAUUGAUGGGGUUAUCCGUAAGGAGAAGCUCUUGAUCGAAGCCCCGGUAAACGGCGGCCGUAACUAUAACGGUCCUAAGGUAGCGAAAUUCCUUGUCGGGUAAGUUCCGACCUGCACGAAUGGCGUAAUGAUGGCCAGGCUGUCUCCACCCGAGACUCAGUGAAAUUGAACUCGCUGUGAAGAUGCAGUGUACCCGCGGCAAGACGGAAAGACCCCGUGAACCUUUACUAUAGCUUGACACUGAACAUUGAGCCUUGAUGUGUAGGAUAGGUGGGAGGCUUUGAAGCGUGGACGCCAGUCUGCGUGGAGCCAACCUUGAAAUACCACCCUUUAAUGUUUGAUGUUCUAACGUUGGCCCCUGACCGGGGUUGCGGACAGUGUCUGGUGGGUAGUUUGACUGGGGCGGUCUCCUCCCAAAGCGUAACGGAGGAGCACGAAGGUUAGCUAAUCCUGGUCGGACAUCAGGAGGUUAGUGCAAUGGCAUAAGCUAGCUUGACUGCGAGCGUGACGGCGCGAGCAGGUGCGAAAGCAGGUCAUAGUGAUCCGGUGGUUCUGAAUGGAAGGGCCAUCGCUCAACGGAUAAAAGGUACUCCGGGGAUAACAGGCUGAUACCGCCCAAGAGUUCAUAUCGACGGCGGUGUUUGGCACCUCGAUGUCGGCUCAUCACAUCCUGGGGCUGAAGUAGGUCCCAAGGGUAUGGCUGUUCGCCAUUUAAAGUGGUACGCGAGCUGGGUUUAGAACGUCGUGAGACAGUUCGGUCCCUAUCUGCCGUGGGCGCUGGAGAAUUGAGGGGGGCUGCUCCUAGUACGAGAGGACCGGAGUGGACGCAUCACUGGUGUUCGGGUUGUCAUGCCAAUGGCACUGCCCGGUAGCUAAAUGCGGAAGAGAUAAGUGCUGAAAGCAUCUAAGCACGAAACUUGCCCCGAGAUGUGUUCUAGCUGAGACUUUAAGUCUCCUGAAGGAACGUUAACGACGAUGACGUUUAUAGGCCGUGUGUGUAAGCGCAGCGAUGCGUUGAGCUAACCGGUACUAAUGAACCGUGAGGCUUAACCUUACAACGC
rnacentral:rRNA from 1 species